rnacentral:rRNA from 1 species
GACGAACGCUGGCGGCGUGCUUAACACAUGCAAGUCGAACGGACAGGCCCUGCUCUUGUGGGUUGCACGAGAGGCGAGCGGGUGAGUGAAACGCGUGUAACCUGCCCUUGUAUUUGGGAUAUAUUCUGGGAACAGGGGCUCUUAUCGCGUAGAAUCUCUUGCUGCAUGGGGGGGGUUGGAGAGAUACGGCGGUUGGGGAUGGACUCGCGGCUUAUCAGCUUGUUGGUGGGGUAGUGGCUUACCAAGUCUUUGAAGGGUAGCCGGCCUGAGAGGGUGACCGGCCACAUUGGGACUGCGGGACGGCCCAGUCGCCUAUGGGAGGCAGCAGUGGGGAAUAUUGCACAACGGGGCGGAGCCAGAUGCAGCAGCGCUGCGAGCGGGAUGACCGCCUUCUGGUUGUAAACCACUUUCGCCGGUGACGAAGCCUGAGUGACGGUAAUGAGUAAAGAAGCACCGGCUAACUACGUG